CGCGUAGGCGGUUUUGUUAGUCAGGCGUGAAAGCCCCGGGCUCAACCCGGGAACUGCGUUUGAUACUGCAAGACUUGAGGACGGAAGAGGAAAGUGGAAUCCCUAGUGUAGAGGUGAAAUUCGUAGAUAUUAGGAGGAACACCAGAGGCGAAGGCGGCUUUCUGGUCCGUUACUGACGCUGAGGCGCGAAAGCGUGGGGAGCAAACA
rnacentral:rRNA from 1 species